GAUGAACGCUGGCGGCGUGCUUAACACAUGCAAGUCGAACGGAAAGGCCCAAGCUUGCUUGGGUACUCGAGUGGCGAACGGGUGAGUAACACGUGGGUGAUCUGCCCUGCACUUCGGGAUAAGCCUGGGAAACUGGGUCUAAUACCGGAUAGGACCACGUCUUGGAUGUUGUGGUGGAAAGUUUUUUCGGUGUGGGAUGAGCUCGCGGCCUAUCAGCUUGUUGGUGGGGUAAUGGCCUACCAAGGCGUCGACGGGUAGCCGGCCUGAGAGGGUGUACGGCCACAGUGGGACUGAGAUACGGCCCAGACUCCUACGGGAGGCAGCAGUGGGGAAUAUUGCACAAUGGGCGCAAGCCUGAUGCAGCGACGCCGCGUGGGGGAUGACGGCCUUCGGGUUGUAAACUCCUUUCGCUAGGGACGAAGCGUUUUUGUGACGGUACCUGGAGAAGAAGCACCGGCUAACUACGUG
rnacentral:rRNA from 1 species